CCACACUGGGACUGAGACACGGCCCAGACUCCUACGGGAGGCAGCAGUGGGGAAUUUUGGACAAUGGGCGCAAGCCUGAUCCAGCAAUGCCGCGUGCAGGAAGAAGGCCUUCGGGUUGUAAACUGCUUUUGUACGGAACGAAAAGGUCUGGGUUAAUACCCUGGGCUCAUGACGGUACCGUAAGAAUAAGCACCGGCUAACUACGUGCCAGCAGCCGCGGUAAUA
rnacentral:rRNA from 1 species